GAUGAACGCUGGCGGCGUGCCUAACACAUGCAAGUCGAACGAAGCAUGCCGGAGGAAGUUUUUGGAUGGAAUCCGGGAUGACUGAGUGGCGGACGGGUGAGUAACGCGUGGGUAACCUGCCCUGUACAGGGGGACAACAGUUAGAAAUGACUGCUAAUACCGCAUAAGCGCACAGGACCGCAUGGUCCGGUGUGAAAAACUCCGGUGGUACAGGAUGGACCCGCGUCUGAUUAGGUAGUUGGCGGGGUAACGGCCCACCAAGCCGACGAUCAGUAGCCGACCUGAGAGGGUGACCGGCCACAUUGGGACUGAGACACGGCCCAA
rnacentral:rRNA from 1 species